GACGAACGCUGGCGGCGUGCUUAACACAUGCAAGUCGAACGGAAAGGCCCUGCUUGCCGGGUACUCGGGUGGCGAACGGGUGAGUAACACGUGGGUGAUCUGCCCUGCACUUCGGGAUAAGCCUGGGAAACUGGGUCUAAUACCGGAUAGGAGCCAUUUUUAGUGUGAUGGUUGGAAAGUUUUUUCGGUGUAGGAUGAGCUCGCGGCCUAUCAGCUUGUUGGUGGGGUAAUGGCCUACCAAGGCGGCGACGGGUAGCCGGCCUGAGAGGGUGGACGGCCACAUUGGGACUGAGAUACGGCCCAGACUCCUACGGGAGGCAGCAGUGGGGAAUAUUGCACAAUGGGCGCAAGCCUGAUGCAGCGACGCCGCGUGGGGGAGGACGGCCUUCGGGUUGUAAACUCCUUUCGCUAGGGACGAAGCUUUUUGUGACGGUACCUAGAUAAGAAGCACCGGCUAACUACGUG
rnacentral:rRNA from 1 species